rnacentral:lncRNA from 1 species
UUGGAAAAUCAUUUUCUAUAUUGAAACAUUAUAGGUCAUUUUGUCUAAACCCUAAUCUGAAAGUCAACUUCCCAAGGCCAUAACUUGCUUAAUUUUUAUGAGAUGAAAGAUUUCCAAGUUGAACUAUAAAAUUAGAGAUGUAUACUUCAACUUUGAUGUUUGGAGUGAGAGCUAAUCCAACUUUUAUGAGCAUGUGAUAUGAGGAUACAUUAUAGGUCAUUUUUGACCUAUACCAUUG